GUCUACAGUCAUACCACCCUGAACGUGCCUGAUCGCGUCUGAUCUCGGAAGCUAAGCAGGGUCAGGCCUGGUUAGUACUUGGAUGGGAGACCUCCUGGGACAACCGGGUACUGUAGGCU
ensembl:rRNA 5S_rRNA 5S ribosomal RNA